rnacentral:rRNA from 1 species
CAAUAGCGUAUAUUUAAGUUGUUGCAGUUAAAAGCUCGUAGUUGGAUUUCGGAUGUGAACGACCGGUCCGCCGUUGCGGUGUGCACUGGACGUUCGUAUCUUGUUGUCGGGGACGCGCUCCUGGCCUUAACUGGUCGGGACGCGGAGUCGGCGCUGUUACUUUGAAAAAUUAGAGUGUUCAAAGCAGGCAACCGCUCUGAAUACAUUAGCAUGGAAUAACGCUAUAGGACUCUGGUCCUAUUGUGUUGGUCUUCGGGACCGGAGUAAUGAUUAAGAGGGACAGUUGGGGGCAUUCGUAUUUCAUUGUCAGAGGUGAAAUUCUCAGACCAAUGGAAGACGAACCACUGCGAAAGCAUUUGCCAGGGAUGUUUUCACUGAUCAAGAACGAAAGUUAGGGGAUCGAAGACGAUCAGAUACC